rnacentral:rRNA from 1 species
ACGAACGCUGGCGGCGUGCUUAACACAUGCAAGUCGAACGGAAAGGCCCUGCUUUUGUGGGGUGCUCGCGUGGCGAACGGGUGAGUAACACGUGAGUAACCUGCCCUUGACUUUGGGAUAACUUCAGGAAACUGGGGCUAAUACCGGAUAGGAGCUCCUGCUGCAUGGUGGGGGUUGGAAAGUUUCGGCGGUUGGGGAUGGACUCGCGGCUUAUCAGCUUGUUGGUGGGGUAGUGGCUUACCAAGGCUUUGACGGGUAGCCGGCCUGAGAGGGUGACCGGCCACAUUGGGACCGAGAUACGGCCCAGACUCCUACGGGAGGCAGCAGUGGGGAAUAUUGCACAAUGGGCGGAAGCCUGAUGCAGCAACGCCGCGUGCGGGAUGACGGCCUUCGGGUUGUAAACCGCUUUCGCCUGUGACGAAGCGUGAGUGACGGUAAUGGGUAAAGAAGCACCGGCUAACUACGUG